rnacentral:tRNA from 1 species
GAGGGUAUAGCUCAGUGGUAAAGUCCAUGCUUGGCAUGCAUGAGGUCCUGGGUUUAAUCCUCAGACCUCCA